rnacentral:rRNA from 1 species
GACGAACGCUGGCGGCGUGCCUAAUACAUGCAAGUAGAACGCUGAAGGAGGAGCUUGCUUCUCUGGAUGAGUUGCGAACGGGUGAGUAACGCGUAGGUAACCUGCCUGGUAGCGGGGGAUAACUAUUGGAAACGAUAGCUAAUACCGCAUAAUAGCAGUUAUUGCAUGAUAACUGUUUGAAAGGUGCAAUUGCACCACUACCAGAUGGACCUGCGUUGUAUUAGCUAGUUGGUGGGGUAACGGCUCACCAAGGCGACGAUACAUAGCCGACCUGAGAGGGUGAUCGGCCACACUGGGACUGAGACACGGCCCAGACUCCUACGGGAGGCAGCAGUAGGGAAUCUUCGGAAAUGGACGGAAGUCUGACCGAGCAACGCCGCGGGAGUGAAGAAGGGUUUCGGAUCGUAAAGCUCGGUUGUAAGAGAAGAACGAGUGUGAGAGUGGAAAGUUCACACUGUGACGGUAUCUUACCAGAAAGGGACGGCUAACUACGUG